UCGAGCGGCGAACGGGUGAGUAACGCGUGGAUUAUCUGCCCUGAGGUGGGGGAUAACCCGGGGAAACUCGGGCUAAUACCGCAUAUGACCGUGAGGUCAAAGGGGGGUCGCAAGAUCUCUCGCCAUAGGAGGAGUCCGCGUCCGAUUAGCUAGUUGGUAGGGUAAUGGCCUACCAAGGCGACGAUCGGUAGCCGGCCUGAGAGGGUGAUCGGCCACACUGGAACUGAGACACGGUCCAG
rnacentral:rRNA from 1 species